rnacentral:rRNA from 1 species
AACGAACGCUGGCGGCAUGCCUAACACAUGCAAGUCGAACGAGACCUUCGGGUCGAGUGGCGCACGGGUGCGUAACGCGUGGGAACCUGCCCUUAGGUUCGGAAUAACUCCCCGAAAGGGGUGCUAAUACCGGAUAAUGUCGUCGGACCAAAGAUUUAUCGCCUUUGGAUGGGCCCGCGUUGGAUUAGCUAGUUGGUAGGGUAAAAGCCUACCAAGGCGACGAUCCAUAGCUGGUCUGAGAGGAUGAUCAGCCACACUGGGACUGAGACACGGCCCAGACUCCUACGGGAGGCAGCAGUGGGGAAUAUUGGACAAUGGGCGAAAGCCUGAUCCAGCAAUGCCGCGUGAGUGAUGAAGGCCUUAGGGUUGUAAAGCUCUUUUACCCGGGAUGAUAAUGACAGUACCGGGAGAAUAAGCUCCGGCUAACUCCGUG